AAUUUAAUCAAAUUAAUAAAUUAAUUGAGCUAUAGAUCCGAUCAAAUCAGGAUCAGUUCUUCCUUACCGAUUAGGUCAUCUCAUAACCUAAUCAGACUUGACCUGAUUGAAUCCAAUUAAAUCAGACUUGAUCCAAACUUUAAUACUCGAUUAAAUUGAGCUAAUUAGUAAUCUAAUCACUAAGUAGUCCUCCAUUAAUGAUAGAGUCCAAGUCUAGUGGGACUCUUCACCAGAGUUCUCAUCUAGUGGGACUCUUCACCAGAGUCUCCAUCCACUGAGACUCUUCAGAUUAGCCAUG
rnacentral:lncRNA from 1 species